GACAGAGGGUGCAAACGUUGUUCGGAUUUACUGGGCGUAAAGCGCGUGUAGGCGGCUUGGCAAGUCGGAUGUGAAAGCCCACGGCUCAACCGUGGAAGCGCAUCCGAAACUGCUUCGCUCGAGUCUCGGAGAGGAAGGUGGAAUGCUUGGUGUAGAGGUGAAAUUCGUAGAUAUCAAGCAGAACACCUGCGGCGAAGGCGGCCUUCUGGACGAUGACUGACGCUGAGGAGCGAAAGCGUGGGGAGCGAUCCGG
rnacentral:rRNA from 1 species